GGUACAAUGCUCAGUGAUAGAGCACUUGCCUGCCAUGCAUGAGGAUCUAGGUUCAAUCCCCAGAACUACCA
rnacentral:tRNA from 1 species